CCAAUAGCGUAUAUUAAAGUUGUUGCAGUUAAAAAGCUCGUAGUUGAACUUCAGGCCUGUCCAGAUGGUCCGCCUUAAUUGGUGUGUACUGUCCUUGGGUGGGUCCUACCUUCUGGCGAAGCGGCAUGGCCUUAGUUGGUUGUGUCGGGGAAGCAGGACUUUUACUGUGAAAAAAUUAGAGUGUUCAAAGCAGGCAUAUAUGCUCGAAUACAUUAGCAUGGAAUAAUGGAAUAGGACGAUGGUUCUAUUUUGUUGGUUCUAGGACCGUUGUAAUGAUUAAUAGGGAUAGUUGGGGGCAUUAGUAUUCAAUUGUCAGAGGUGAAAUUCUUGGAUUUAUUGAAGACUAACUACUGCGAAAGCAUUUGCCAAGGAUGUUUUCAUUAAUCAAGAACGAAAGUUAGGGGAUCGAAGACGAUCAGAUACCGUCGUAGUCUUAACCAUAAACUAUGCCGACUAGGAAUCGGGCGAUGUUGACAAAAUGACUCGCUCGGCACCUCAUG
rnacentral:rRNA from 1 species